CCAGCUGAGCUGUAUCUGCAGUCGAGCGGUGGGGGGAAAAAAAAACCCCAGCAACUUUAUGGAGACGUGCUCCUCCUGCAAACCUGCCAGCCUCAUCUGUCAGCCAUUAGUUAAUCAGGGCUGGUGACUAGAAAAAACUGGAGAGAGAACGGGCGAGGCCCCUGGGACUGGAGGACAGCUUCAACCUCCCGAGAGCGCAACGAGGGCAAGGGACCUGGGACCUGAAGACCCACAGCUGGCUCUACAGAAAUGGUAGCUGGAAAACCCCAACUGAACCUCACCCACUGCAUAACUCGCAACAGGAAGGUUCUGAAGGACCGGAGUCCAAACGACCCAUGCGGUGUGAUGGCGGUGGGAGAAGAGGAAUUUUAAAAGCCGUGGAUCAGUUCUGAUCUGCAGAAAAACAACCCGUAGUAACAUCAUGCUAUCUUUCACACAGCUGUGAUGUGCAAAGCCGUUCUCCUAAUUAUGAAUGCAGAUGAUGACAUGAAAUAAUGACUUCCCCGUUUCUUUCUGUUUGCAGACUGUUAAUUGUAAGUAUAGCAAACUUCAGACGGGUUGACGCUAAACAGCCGACUCUGGACCCGGUGCUUGUAAGUACAAAUCUGUCAGCUACAAAUAGACAGAACAACACAUUUUUUCCUAUUUUCUUCUCUGAAAAGUAAAAUCCAGGUUUAGGCAAUUGUGUAAAAAGGUAUAGUUCACAAUUAAUAAAGGUUUGCAUUAGUUUCCUAUAGUUUAAAGUGAUUUCAAUGAGAUGCCCAAUAAAUUUGCAUGUCUAGUAUUUUCUCUGGUUUACAUGUAUGCCUCUUACACUUUACUGUACAAAAUAAAAAGCAGCAUAAAGUUAUGUAUUAUGCACAAUAAGCAUUUUAAAACCACAAUUUAUUUCAAAUUGAACAGUGAACAAAUAGGAGUUAUUCAUUUGUUAUCCCAAAACAUUAUUUAAAAAAAAAUAAAUAAAUGCUAUUAUUUUUAGUAGCAGUAGAGGUAUUUGUAUUUUUUUUAAAUAAAAAAAAUUGUUAAAAUAAAACAUAGUUUGUUUUAAAUCUUGGUGUGAAAACUGUGACAUAUUUGGUAUUUUUAUUAAAGAUUUCACCGUUAUCGUGAGAGAAUCUUAUAUAGUCAUAUGCAUAGACAUGUUUAACUUUUUGUAAACAAACACAACAUAAAAUAUAGUCGCAAAAAUGUUGAUUAACCGAGGAAAUAACAAAAGAAAUCCACAGUGAAGACCAGAUAUAAGAUUUUCGAGUAAAUCUCUGACAGUGUUCCCAAGUCUUCCAGCUCAAUGUCGCGUAGCUACAUUUCUAAUCUACAUGGCAGGCAGAAAAAGAUCUUGAGCUUGAAUUUCAGGUGUAAAUCUUAAAGAGUCAUCGAAACACAUUGUUUAAUUUUGUUUUUGUGUGAUAAUCCAACUCUUCACGCCUUUGUUUCCUCCUUAAAACCAAGACUCAUUAUUCCACAAUGUCUAAUAAUUGUUUUCUUUGUCCCUUUUUAGCCCCUGUGAGAGAAGAAAACAUACCACAUAGGUCAGUGAUUUGACAAAUAAUAGCUUAUAAAAUGUAUUUUAGUCUACUGAAAGAAUAUGAACACACUGAAUGAGGCAAUGUUUGACACACGUCCUUGACCCAGCAGUCUGAUGACGCUGAAACUGAGAGGUAGCUGACUGACACGGACAACACAACACAUAAAAGUCAAACAGUGUGGCGCAAGUAUAGUCAAACUUCUAAUAGAAAACAUGCUGACAUUAUAGAAGAGCUUUCACAUCGUCAGUUUUAGGACUAUUACAUCCCUGUUUGCUGACAGGAAGUUCAACACUCAAUCUAUCAUUGUCUAACCCAUUAGGAAGGAUAUCAGCUGCAUCUCAUUUUACUUCAUCAGUGGUGUUGAAAGGUCCAAAGAGCAUGAGGCCCCAUCGAAACCAAGCCUGUAGUGUUAUACACACGGCACAGAGAUGAUCCAGUAUUUGUAGAUAUAAAAGCUUUGACUUCAUUACUUCAUUGAAGCUGAAGCUGGGGGAAAGUAUUCAUUAAUCAGAAUACUUGCAGUCUGUGCCCGAAUUCUUUCCUAAGGUGUUCUGUCAGUCCAACUCAGUCCCACUGAAACAGGAAGGGAGAAUCCCAAAUUGUUCCCACAUAAUAGUGAGUAUUAAAUGGUCAAAAUAUCUUUUAUACUGCAUUGUCAGAAGUUCUUAAAAUAAAAACAACCCCUCAGCAUGAUCAUUCUUCAAUCAAGUUCACACUUGACAAUGCAGUCGGGUGAAUGCUGUUCUUCACCACAUUCAGACUCAUUCACUGGAUUACCAGGCAGGCAGACUUCAUUCGUCAGUCCAGAGAAAAUCUCUAUUGCUCUAGAGUUCAGUGGUUCCACUAUAUAGUGGCACUUGGCGUUACAAGGCUAUCAUUUGAAAUUCUCAACCAUGGAAACCCAGUCUAUGUGAUUAGUACCCACCAUUCUGGAGAUAAUCUGAACAGCUGUUGGCUUUGCUACUUUACUUAGUUUAUUACUAAGUGGCUGUCAACUGUUUAGUAGUGCAGAACUUUUACAAACGGAGUUAUUGUCCAUGUAGCAUCCUACCUAGCUCAUUUUGACUUGUUGGACCCUUAAGAAUGCCCCAUUCUUACACAAAUGUUUGGAAAAGCAUUGAGAUGCUGGAUUUUACACAUGCAGUCAUGGAAGGGACUGGAAAAUCUUAAAUGAUUUAGAGGGGGUGACUCAGUAUUUCAGACAAAAUUGUACAUGUAUGAUGCAGAUAUAAACAAACAAUUCCAAUUGGCUUAAAGUGACAUUCCAAUAGGGUUGGAGCAAAGCAGAUGCUUUCUGCCUGUGUCAAGGAAAGGCCAUGCCCUCUGUCAUUCAGUGGACCUGGGAUACCCCAAACUAAACGCUUCCAGAUCUUGGUACCCCGUCUCUUCCCCUUUCGUCUCUCUGCAUCUGUUCCUGAUCACUCUCGAAAAAACAUUUACUCCUCUGCAUGCUAUAGGCUCCUCCCUUCGUUCCUAAUUUCUCCUAGCGUUAUGUUCAGGGACUGACCGUUAACACACAGAGCUAUUAAAAAAAUAUGUGGCGUCUUACACAGUGUUGCCAAAAUCUUUUGCAAAUAAAAAAUGUAAAGAGUGGUAAGCCAUCCCAAACCAAUACUUUUUAAAAAUAAUCUUUUGCUGAAUUUACAGCUGCACGGUAACAGAUGUUUUUUGUUUUUUGCAAGAUAGCUCAAGCUCAGUCAGAUCAGAUGGAGAGCUUACUUUCCAAGUGUUACCAGGAAUUUUCCAUUUUGAUUUACAUGUGGACUUUGACUGGGCCAUUCCAGCUUAUGUAUUUGAUCUGGUGAAAGGUCAGCCAAAGCCCCAGUCUUACACUGAAUUUUUAUCCAAUCUCUGAUAACUUUCUUACCAGUGUUGGCCUGUAUUUUCUUUAAUCUUUCCAUUACGUCCGACCAGUUUCCUUUCACCUAAUUAUCAAAAACAACCACAAAGCAUAAUGCUGGUACUAACAUGUUUAAUCACAAAUGAUGAUAUUUAGGAUAUUAUUUUUGGAAAAAACAUUUCUAUUUUGUGUGGCUUUGUAAAAGGUAUGUAUGUUUUUUUUUUGUUGUUGUUUUUUUGCCUACUGUCCUUAACGUUUAUUUCCAGUCCUGACCUAAAGCAGCCUGAAGUGCAGAUACCUUUUAGAUUUGGUAUUCUGAUUAUGUACAGACACGUCAGGAGCUUCAUCUUUUUCCCCCCAAAACAAAAAAAACUCUAUUUCAUAUAAUGUGUCGAAACAAGCCUGUAAUUCAUUCAGACUGCAAGAGAGUGAGUAAGUGAGAGAGAGCAAGACUUCAAUUGGUAACCCUGUCCUCAGAUUUUCAGUUUUUAACCUCUGUCUGUGUAGAAACAUGCAGAAUUGGGAAAUGCUGACCUGGUUUUCUGCCUCCAAGGUUUGUCAAGGUUAGCAGUAAUCUUUUAGCCAAACUACCGCUUUCCUUUCGCCCAAAGGGGCCACAGCGUCAUUUGGUCUCCCAAUGCAUAUUCAAGUGAAGGCUGUGACGAGAACCUGGCGCUUGCUUUCAUCUACUAAUUUGGUUGCUCAAGCCCGACUGACAGGAAACGCCAGACCCAUGAUGUCACAAACAACUGACCCCAGGUGACAGGUUUGAGGAGUGUUCAUGCUCAUUGCUCUUAGGCUGGAGCAAGGAAUGUCAAUGUGUACAUGUGGUUUUGAUUUGAAGUGCUGUGAUUAGCUUGCAGACGCUCUGCUGCCACGCCUCCGUCCCAUGGAAAGCAUAUAUUUAACAGGAAGUGGCAUGUUUUUGCUUAUAAGAAGGAAUAAAUAACUUAAGCGGUGCCUGUUAAUAGUACAAUGAACCAGAAUUUCAGUGAACAUGGCUUUUCUUAAGGCAAAUAGCAUUAGGAAAAUAUUUUAUCACCAAAUCUGACAAAUUAAUUAAAAAUUUGUUUUUUGUGAAAUGUCUGCAAUAAAUCUGAUUAUUCCUUG